rnacentral:tRNA from 1 species
GCCCUCGGUUGCCACUGAUUGCCGGGAUGGUUCCAUGGUAAGGAGGGGGUCAACGGUUCGAGUCCGUUAGAGGGCU